AUUGAACGCUAGCGGCAGGCUUAACACAUGCAAGUCGAGCGGAGAUGAGGUGCUUGCACCUUAUCUUAGCGGCGGACGGGUGAGUAAUGCUUAGGAAUCUGCCUAUUAGUGGGGGACAACAUUCCGAAAGGAAUGCUAAUACCGCAUACGUCCUACGGGAGAAAGCAGGGGAUCUUCGGACCUUGCGCUAAUAGAUGAGCCUAAGUCGGAUUAGCUAGUUGGUGGGGUAAAGGCCUACCAAGGCGACGAUCUGUAGCGGGUCUGAGAGGAUGAUCCGCCACACUGGGACUGAGACACGGCCCAGACUCCUACGGGAGGCAGCAGUGGGGAAUAUUGGACAAUGGGGGGAACCCUGAUCCAGCCAUGCCGCGUGUGUGAAGAAGGCCUUAUGGUUGUAAAGCACUUUCAGCGAGGAGGAAGGGAGUUGUGUUAAUAGCACAGCUUUUUGACGUUACUCGCAGAAGAAGCACCGGCUAACUCUGUGCCAGCCGCCGCAGUAAAAC
rnacentral:rRNA from 1 species